GGGAAGAGCUGGAAGGGGAGUGAGGUUAUGUGCAGUAGGUGUCAGGAGCAGAGCUUACACUUCAGAAAACAAGGCACAAGAUGCAGUUUCUGAAGGAGCAGAGCCUAAAAGCCAGUGCUUCAUAACCUUUGGCAGCAGCAUCACAGCAUGCCUACACCGUGGUGUUUAGAGGAGUGUCUGACACUGAUCAGGUGUGGGCCUUUCAUCAUGGUGGCUUUGUCUGAGGAGGACCAGAUUACGUUAUAGGAAUCUUGGUUGGAGAAACAAUGAUUCAUAUUUAGAUCAUCCAUCCACCAUCUGAUAUGGGUUGUCAUCCAAAGAGCCUUUGUUACAGAAUGUGCCCCGUAAAUUUCAGCGUUGGUGUCCUUCCGCCUUCAGUAAAACAAAUAGGCCAUCCAAAGAAGAACAAACAAAACAGGUGACUAAUGUUUUUAUUAUUUUUUUUAGCAUGAUUAAGAAGCAGACAAAUCCCCAAACUGAAAUCAAUUUGUACAUUAAUCUGGGAGGUUUGGCAGGAUUAACUUUCACAUUUGAUUACAAAAAUGUAAACUUGUUUUAGAUACUUAAAAUUCAUUCAUUAAUGUUUGUCAGGCACUCGGAUACCAGAGCAAUGAGGUUCCACAGAAAUGCCUAUGAAUAAAUCAAAUCAUUAGAGUGGCUGCAGCCAGUUGGUUGGUGGCCAUUUUAAAAUUGUCCUUAGUCCCACCUGCUGCCUCCAGCCCUUCCUUUAGUUCUCUCUGGCUAACUUGUCGGAACCCAGAGGUGCCUUCCCUCCCACUCCUCCCCACUGCAGCUUCUUCCUGCUCUCUCCCAAUGCUCUGAGACCACUUCCCUCCCAAUUCCCGUCACAGCCCCUUGGCCUCUCUCAUCACGAACUAAGUCAGGGCACACUUUGUAAAAACAUGAUUUGGUUUCAUUAUACCAGUUGACCUAGCCCUGUUUAUACUAACUUAGCCUGCACUGGUUUAAAAUGGUAUUUGAACUGGGUACAGCAAAGAUGAUUUGGGCCACAGUAUGAAAAAAACUUUAUGUGCAGUUCAGGACUCCACUGUGCUAGGUGCUGUACAAAUACAGAACAAAAAGAUCGUGUCUGCCCCCAAAAGUUUAUAAAUUAAGUAAAAAUAUAAUUCAGAACUCUUGUGUCUUCUGAAGUAUGGAGAGUCGCUGUUGUCCAUAAAAGCCAAAAAAGUGUCCUACUUAAUUCAAUGGCGUCUUAUAAUUUGCACUAAUCCUCAUUCACACCCAUUAAAACUCCUACAUCAUCCCUCCCUACAUAUAAAUGGAUAUAGAUAUGACAUAAAAAUAUAGCAAUCCACCUCUGGUACACUUUUGUAUAAUAGACUUACAUGGACAAUACCACUGAACGCUCUACUGCAUUGUAUAUUAUUUUUGUGUGAUAUUUUCCAUAUAAAAGUGUCCUGGCCUGUUAGUAAGAAUUCUUAAACAGAACAUAGGGAUUUUCAUACAGAAGGCUACUUAGAUACAGAAUUUCCUUCAUAAGCAUAGAAAUAACUUUGCAGAGAGGAAUAAAACUGCAUGCAGAAGUUUCUGCAAGCUAGGCUCUGAUCGUUGGACUCUUUUGGCUCUGAUAUAUUUUGCCCCAUUAUCAAAUAUUUGCUACGAACCAUAUAAACAGCCAACUGUAAAUUGCUUCUAGAGGAAGGAUGCCCAUCUGAUCACAAUGAUAGAUUUAAAAAAGAUGCAGAUGCAGGAAAUUUUUCAUGAAACGACGCAUACAAGAAAUACGAAAGACUUCUUAUCACUAGAUAACAGCUAAAAUUACUUCUGAAGUUUUUUUUACUAAAGGUUCAACUUUUUAAGGAGUUACCACUGAAUAUCCAGCCAAUUAUGUUUCCAGAUAAACAUUAGCCAAUGAACUAAUGAGGGGGUGGAAUAAUUGCUCAAUGAGAUUUGCAUUGUUAGACUCUUCGCAACCUUUUAGGGACAUCGUUGUUAUUAUUACUAUGACAACACUGACCACAGGUUUGAUUUUAACCCCCACAAAUGAUUAGAAGAAAUUAAACAGUUUAAAAUGAAGUCAUCACUUUUCUGCUUGUGUGAUGUCACCCUCCCAACCAGGGAUGGUAACCCACAAUCCACCCUGCACAACUCCAUAUCUGCAUCACUCUGCUGAUUAUACAUCCAUCCAUCUGUGUGUGCUGCAAGGUGGCACUUGAUUCGUCCCUUAGCACUAGACAUUUGGAAAUGGUUGCACCCCGGCUCAUGGUUUUUCAUCUCCAGAAAGAGCCCCCCUUUAAGUGCUUCCAAAUCUUUCAAGGCUUUGUGGGUUUUUUUUUUUUUUGGUCCUGAAGACCACCCAGUGGGUCUAUAGGACACGCACUUGAAAGGCCACUUCUGUUUUGGUGGCAACUCCUAUGCAAUUGCAAAGUGCCCAUUAAAGCACAGGUUGUUUCCUAGAAGCAUGCCCAAGCCAGUAGCAUGCAAAGCCCUUCAGGGGUUCUAGAAAACAUUCCCUUUUGAAAUGCUGCAGGAAACGCCGAGAUGAAAGGAUAAGUCUCCUGGCUGUGCAGUUACAGUCUAUUGUCUUCCAUGAAGGAUAGUUAUCACUCCUCAGUUGUGUUAUUGCAGUUAAUCCACUUAAAGGCUAUUGGAUUUGCAGAUGAGCUGAAUUCUUUGCUCCUGCUAUUAAGAUGCUUUGUGGAAACGAGAAAGGGCUGUUAUUUCAAUCACAAUGAGUUCAGGGAGAUGUCAGGGUGCAGCCGACACCUUGUGCCGUUUGCAGCGGGGAAAGGGGGGUAUUUUCUUUGCCCCCCUUCCCCCCCAGGAGGAGGCUAGAAACGCCUUUGACUUGAGCACUCCGAGAAAGCGCCCAAAUCCCAGGCCAAUUAUUAAUUGUUAACGAGUUCGCUCAAUCCGGAGCGUAAUUUGAACACUUGCACAAGGCGAUCGGUUGUGUAAACUGUGGCCAAGGAACCCUGCCCUGCAGCUCCAUGGCAUAAAACGCGGAAAGGAGGGGCUGAAUCAAUAGGGUACAGGUUUAAUAUGUAACAGAGUCAGCCCUUGAAUAAGGGGCAGGGCACAAAACUGCUGCUGCGCGUUGACUUUGAACCUUUCCACUGGAGAGAGCUGCUCAAAGUCAAGCCACCCUGCGCGCUCCGCCAGGGCCUGACCCCCGACCAGACAGACACACACCCACGGCGCAACAAGCGGCGGCUCCAGCCCGUGGCAGUCUCCCGGCUACUGCACGGGGGCCCCAGCUUCCUAUCCACCGCCUGCCUUUUGCAGGGGGGAUUUGGGAGUGAGGCGGGCAGAGGGUUGGUGUGUGUGUGAGGGGGGGAGAACAUGUGCCCACCCCAGUGAUCGUCCUCACCCUCCCCACGCGAUCACGAGCGCCUGGACUGCAGCAGACCUGGAAGAGCGCGCGGCUCCUGGGGAGGGAACCUUGCACUUCAUACG